UUUGACUAAAUAAGUUUAAUUGAUAGCGCUGAAGGGCUUUCGUAAAAAAAAAUCAGACUCUAAUAAACAAACAUUUGUAAUUCUGAUCAUCGUCAGUUUGUGAGUUCUACAUCAAUUUUUUGUACUAAUUAAGAGUCGGUUUUAUGUUAUUUUUUGCAUAUAUACUUUUUUUUUGUUACAUGUACAGGAUGUAGCUUACUUUUCAAGUUUUUAAAUGGCAGCAAAAUAAAAUUGAGAAUGGAAAUUGGAAAUACAAUUAUUUUUGUAUGUGCCUGUCCCAAGUCAGGAGCCUGUAAUUCAGUGGUUGUCGUUUGUUUAUG
rnacentral:lncRNA from 1 species